GACGAACGCUGGCGGUGUGCUUAACACAUGCAAGUGGUGCGACGAACCAGAGCUUGCUCUGGGGCAAAGCCGCGAACGGGUGAGUAACACGUGGGUAAUCUACCCCGAUGACCGGGACAACCCGAGGAAACUCGGGCUAAUACCGGAUGUGGUGCAGAGACAUAAGUCUCUUCACUAAAGGUAGCUUCGGCUUCCGCAUUGGGAGGGGCCCGCGGCCCAUUAGCUUGUUGGUGGGGUCAAGGCCUACCAAGGCAACGAUGGGUAGCUGGUCUGAGAGGACGAUCAGCCACACUGGGACUGAGACACGGCCCAGACUCCUACGGGAGGCAGCAGUGGGGAAUCUUGCGCAAUGCGCGAAAGCGUGACGCAGCAACACCGCGUGAGGGAAGAAGGCCUUAGGGUUGUAAACCUCUUUCAGAUGGGACGAAGGUUCUCCGGUGAAUAGCCGAGAGGAUUGACGGUACCGUCAGAAGAAGCUCCGGCUAACUACGUG
rnacentral:rRNA from 1 species